GGGUUUCGUGGGCCUGUGUUUCCUAUUAGCUGGUAUUCCUGCGUGAAGUUUUCUGCGGAGAAGGGACAAAUGUGAAGACACCACUACAGCGUUAUUCUUACUUCCCCCAUUAAGUAAAUGGGAAGUUCUCACUUGGCACACAAGAGUGAAAUGGAUGUUGACUGCCUCUUCCAGUCACCUCUGGGCUGAUUUUAGAUUAGACGACCUUUUCUCAAAGGAACCUUAUUUCUGCAAACAUCUCUUUUAAAACUCGAAAUAAUUUCUGCUUGUUUACUCUUACGUUAGAGAGUUAUAAUACAAGAGUAAUUAUGGUUACUUGUUCUUGGGUUACUGUUGUAACCAUAAUUUGCUUAUACAUUGGUUUUGCUAUUUUCCUUUCUGAAUGGCGUUUGUUUUAGAUUGUAGCUCCUUUCUUGUGUUACGUUGCUAACAUUUUUGUCAGCUGCCAGAUUAUUACAAGCAGAUAAAGGGGGAGUUUUCUUCUAGAGAGACCUCCAUGGUUCAUGCUCAAAGAAUUUGUUUUGUAUACCCUGUGGUGGUGGGGGGGAAUAAUUCGUUGCUGUCUUUGUGUGUGUGUGUCUAUGUGUGUUGUUAGCUGUGAUCUGCAAAGAUUUCUGCAUUUUUAAGCAUAAAGAUCGGUUUCUCACUUUGUAACAUGAUUUCUUUUCAAACUUGUCAUGUAAUUGAAUCCAGCUUUGAGUGACACUUUAAAAAAUACUCUCCUGCGUCAGAAGUGCUUCUUCAAACCAGGUGCUCUUCACGCUCACCUGCUGGCAUGUUUGAUGAGCAGCCAGCCACAACUGGGUGCCAAAUCCAUUCUAAAUAUGGGAGUCUGUGCUUGAGAAGACUAGUCAUACUAAUUAUUCAGACCUCCUCGUUGGAAGUAAUGUGCCAAAAUCACAGAAGCAGAAAAGCCAGAAACAGUAUGAGGCUUGGUAUUGAGGAACCAUAAAAAUCAGAAUUUUGCCUCAUAAUACCGUUUUGUUCUUGGGUUACGUCCUUUCCAGCUAUGAGCUCAUCAGCCCUUGUUCUAUCUCUGAGCUGGUUGGCAUCAUUGCCGUUCUACAGAUGGAGAAUGGGAGACACAGCUGUGUAAGCCAAAAUGCCUGAAAGCCGGAUGAUCUUGCUGAAACUGGGAGCCAGCACCCCUGGUGUCUCUCUAGCUCCUUGCUGCCUGUGAAUCUGCAGCUUAAAAGAGGAGAGCUGGAGGCUAAGUCGGAACCACCUAGAGUUGCCUGCAAGCAAUCUGUAUUUGAAUUGCCUCUCAGAGGCCUGGUGAAACCAAGCGGUGGGUCAAACCAAAAGGGCUUCCAAAAACGGGAAGAAGGUUAAAAGUGAGGAGAUGGGGAUCGAAGUCCAGGAAUGCAGGGAAUAUGCUGGAAUAUGCUUUUUAUACAGGCCAUCCCUCUUUUAACUGUGGGCUGAAAUAUACUGGAUAGUAUCUGUUACACAGAAAGUACAAUGUUCCACUGAUAGGAAAGAUUUAAAGACCAUGCAUUAUUUUAAAUCAUUAUUGCAGGAAAUAUUCCUUGAGGCUCCCCUAUGAGCCAAGUCCUAUCAUAUUCAGCUUUGUAACCUGAGUGCCUAUCAUUCAGUGGAUGGACAGGAAGGAUGCCUUGCUGAAUGGAUGAACACAUUGUUCAUGAGAUUUUAAGGACUCUCCAUCUUCUCCCUGCUCUUCCUCCCUUGGAACAGCCCAUUCAAUCCCACAGAGACACCUGUUUCACCCCUCCCACAACCACCCACCCACAGGAAGGAGAAUUUCCUUAAUGAAGGCAAGUAAACACAGGCCUGUUUGCCCAUAGGAAGGAAGCCUUUAUGCACUUUUACCCAGAUUGAGUCGGAGAAAACCAUGUCAGGAAAAAGGGCACACCCUAGCCGACUCACAGAAGUAACAUUUGCAUGUCACAGGCUUCACCCCAGCAAGCCAACACACAGGUGCAUAAUCUCUGGGCCAGGCAACCAGAGCAAAUUUGCCUCCAUAAUCUUCAGAGCUCCACCUUCCUUCCUUCAUCGUCUCUUGAGCUUGCUUCCGAAGACAUAAGCCUGUUAGACAUAAGUGACCAGGAUCUGGGAAAGGCACACCAAACACCAUUAUUUAUUGAAUGCCCUCAGUGCAUUGGCCUCAAACCAAAUGCAGAAUUACAUUACUGUUCCUGACCAGUUGGUUCACAUUUUAAACAAAUAAAUAGGCAGGCAGAGGUGAACUAAAUAGAAAGGAAGGUGGAAAUAUACUCCAGGGAGAGGCCGGUGCUGGGGAGGAGAAACCAGUCAGAGCCUGUCAUUUUCAGAGCUUAAGUAGGACAGGAUCUCAAAAUAUUUCAUAUCCAGCUCCAUGUUUUUGAUCAGCCAGAAGGAGGGCAAAUUUGGUUGAGAGUAGGAGAAAAGAUGAACCCAACACUUAAGUCCUCAAUGUUGGUUCAUUCUUUCCUGAUUGUUUCUAUCUUUGGGCCACUAUUGUGUCUUACCUGUGCUUCUGAGUAGGACAUGGCCAAUGUACUUUGUUACAAAGUAACAAAGCAAUUAUUUGUCUCCUUUCUAUCUCUUCUAAUGGAUCAUGAGCUCAGUGAGGGCAAGGAUUUUGUCUUCCUUAUCUCUGAAUGUCUAAAGCCUGAUCAAUCAAUGCUUGUUGAAUACACAUAUGACACCCCAACCCCUAAAGCCAUGUAACAGGGUAAAGAUGAGUGCAAUUGGGUCUCAAAUUAGAACAGGGGCCAGGAUUUGAGGUGUUCAAGAAAUUUAACAUAGAGGUGACUCGAUUUGAAUGGCUGACAACUUUCUUAAAUAUGCGAGUUUGACGCCACUGGGAUUUUGAGAUGAUGGGAUUAAGCGGGUUGGGAGGAGGCAAUGGGUCAGGAUUAGGAAUACGCUCAUGGUUCUUGGGGAACAGUGAGUGGACCAGUGUGGCAGAAUGAGGCCAUUGUGUGAAAGGACAAAGCUGUUUGAAAUUUAAACUUUUGGCAAUGAGAAACCACUGAAGCCAUUUAAGCGAAGCUAUACAGAGAUAAAAGGAAAACUCAAAAGAACCGAGUCCAGGUAAUAGGUUAGAGCAUGAGGUGCCAGGAACAAGGGCUCUAUGAAGGAAUGGAAGGCAAUAGCCCAUGAGUGUGUAAUAAAAUGCUAUCUGGGUGGGGCAGAAGGGCUGGGGGAAUACGUGUGAGGAUUCUGCAGUAUUUAUGGGGGAGGGGAGAUCUGAGAUUAAGGUAUCAUUUGUAUCCAGAGUUUUCUCUUUGAGGUUAAAAGAAUGAUGACUAAACUCCUUAUUGGAUGUUUGCUGUAUGCCAGUCACUGUUCUAGGCAUUUCACAAACUAGCUCAAUUCAUCCACAGAACACCCCUUUGUAGUAUUAUUAUUGGCCCACUUCACAGAUAAACUGAGGCACAGAGAGAUUAAGGCACUUGCCCAACGUCAUACAGUUAUAAAACAGAGAGCCAGGAUUCAGACCAGGAUGUAAGGCUGCCCAGGCCCAAAUCUUAACCACAAAUACCUGCUUUGGCAGGUUCAAGGGAAGAUUUAAAACAUGAUGAAAGAGGUUCUAAACAGUGAUGUGUUAUCAUUUUGGAAAGAGACCAGAAAAGCAUUUCCUGCAUCCAUUUUUCUAUCAUUAUGAUGAAUUGCCUACUCUAGUUUAAGGUGAUCAGUAUACAGUAAAUUUAAAAAUCUGUAAUAGGAUAAUAUGUUUUUUAUUUUGCCUUUUAAACAUUGAUUUUUCUCAUUUAAAAAUUAAUAUUUAUUGUAAGAAUUCAAAUCUUACAGAAAUAACAAAUACAGAGAGUGAAUAUCCCAUGUAAUCCUAAUUAUCCCCUACCCCCAAAUCAUUAUUUACUAUUAGGUAGAAAUUCCUCCAGCUGUUUUCUUUCUUUCUUUUUUUUUUUUUCUGAGAUGGAGUUUUGCUCUUGUUGCCUAGGCUGGAGUGCAAUGGCACGAUCUCAGCUCAGUCCAUCCUCUGCCUCCUGGGUUCAAGCUAUUCUCCUGCUUUAGCCUCCGAAGUAGCUGGGAUUACAAGCAAGCACUACCACACCUGGCUAAUUUUGUAUUUUCAGUAGAGACAAGUUUCACCAUGUUGGUCAGGCUGGUCUCAAACUCAUGACCUCAGGUGAUCUGCCUGCCUCGGCCUCCCAAAGUGGUGGGAUUACAGGCAUGAGCCACUGUACCUGACUUACCUUUUUUCUUUUAUAUAGGCUGCUGUAUUACCAUCAUUUAUGUCAAUAGUAAUCCUUUUUCUCCAAAGGUGAUUAUACGGUUUUAUAACAAUGCUUUUUCAUUUAAUAAAUAGGAUACAUUUCCAUGUCAGGACAUACAGGUUUUCUUUUUAAUUGAAACAUAAUAAUUACAUAUAUUUAAGGUGCAUAAUGUGAUGAUUUGCUAUAUGUAUACACUGUGUAAUAAGGAAAUCAGGGUAAUAGCAAGGAUAUACAGCUUUGUAUUAUUUCCUUUAAAAGUUGUAUAGAACUCACUUUCACUUUCAGCAUCACUCCAUCUGGAUUCACAUUCUUUUCCGAUCACCAGAGCAACAGGUUUGAUGUGACCUAGAUUCUUACCUCAAUGCCACGUUUGUUCCUUUUGUGUCUUGAACAGGACUCAAGGAAAAGCAAGUUCAAAUGGUGCUCAGUUUUCUGUUUCUGUGAAAACAAUAGAAGCUAACAUUUAUCUAGUACUUAUUACGAGCCAGCAACUAUUCCUAGCUCCAUUGUACAGAUGAGGAGACUGAGGCCUAGAGAGAUUAAGUAAUUUACUUGCUCAGGGUCAUACAGUUAGAAAGUCAGAACCUGAACCCUGGCUGUUUGACGCCAAAGCCUGUAUAUUUAGCACCACACUAUCUUUUUAUCUCUUUUACAAGUCUUCUACCUAAAUUAAUUAGUAUGAAGUGGCUUCCAUAGCAUUAUGUGGUCAACCAUAGUGUAAAAGUUAGUCAAUAAAGAUAAGCCCUACCACUUCUCUCUGUGGUGCAUCUAGCAGCAGAAAGUGGGGAGUUGAGUUGUCUGAAGGAGCAGCUUCCUUUCUGCUGCCUCUCUCUCCAGCCUCUCUCCACCGGUCACUAUUAGCCUCAAGUGUGACCCUCAACAUCCCCAGAGGAUGCCUCCUAGGACUCAAACCUCAUUUAGUGUCUCUCCUGCUGAUGGACGCCAUGAGUGGAGUUGUUGGAGGUUCUUUGGGUGACAUGGUGGUCCCCACGUCCCAGUUGGGCAACACGAUGGCCACAGAAAGGCCGUGUCUAUCGACCCAGCACAACAAGUGCAGAAAUUUCCAAAGAGCCUGUGUAAGUAGAUGAGCGUAGAAAAAUAAUCCUGGGGGAGCAUCCUUAAAAGGAGUGUUUUGUUUGUCUGAAUAAACUAGACUGCUUUAACAUACUGCCUCUUUUAAUGAACUAAAGUAAUUAUCUCCUUUGCUAUGUGCUAGGAAAGCCAACACAAAGACGUAAGAAAAAUCCCACAGUCCUAGAUUCCUAAAACCAUCCACAUUUGAUCCCAUUCUUAAGAUAUCUCAUUAUAAAUAUGCCAGUAUUCCAAAAGCUGGAAAAAUCCCAAAUUCAAAACGCUUUGCUUCCAGGCAUUUCAGAUAAGAGUUACUUAGCCUGCCUCACACUCCCCGGGAUAGGCAGCUUCAUAGAACAUUGGGGUGAGAAGGGAUCAAAGAUUUAAGAAGCUCCAUUUCUUCUCUGAACCAUUUUCCAGCAGUCCCUCAAAGUGGGCAGCUAGCUUUGGUCUGAACACAGUCAAGGAAAGUGAACUCACUAAGUAGGAAAGAGACUAUUUCAUUUUCAGAACUUGUUAAAUUGCAACAGUGUUCUUCUUUAUGGUAACUCCAUAUCUGCUGUCCCAAAACUUCAAUUCUUUCAUCCUUCUGAGACCAAAUGGAAAACAUCAAAUGGUUUUUACACUUUACCACCUUCCAAUUUUUAAGAAUAGUCAAAAUUUCCUUGCCAAAUUGUCUCUUUUCCAGGUUAAGGUCUUUGAUUCAAUCUUCACCUAUUAUUCCCAUGUCAUGAUCUAGCAUUUUGGAUGGUUAUGGUCCCUCUUCUUUCAUAUGCCCUAAAUUGUCCAUGUUGCUUCAGACUGUGGCAUUUAACACGUAACACAGUACUUCAGGGAAGACUAGAUAAAGACAACCACUUGCCUUGCUCAUCAUGGUCUUCUUCUAUUAGGUGUGCUAAGCUUAAGAUUUCAUCCAAUUCUUCAAAAGCAGGGGAAAUUAAGGAACUUUAUUCUGGAAAGUUUGUAAAGAAAUCAACCCGUCAUGGAAUGGCUAUUGUGAAAAACACACAAAAAAACACAUAUUGGCCAACAGGCAGAGAAAAGGCAACUCUUAUAUAGAAAAUCGUGUGGCGAUUUCUCUAAAAACUGAAAAUAGAACUACCCUUGCACCUAGCCAUCCUACUACUGGGUAUCUAUCCAAAGGAAAAGAAAUAAGUAUAUCAAAAGGAUACCUGCACUUGCAUUUUGAGCACUAUUCACAAUAGCAAGAUAUGGAAUCAACCUAAGUGUUCAUCAGCAGACAAAUGGGUAAAGAAAAUGUGGUAUCUAUACACAGUGGAAUACUAUUUGGCCAUAAAAAAGAAUGAAAUCAUUUCAUUUGCAGCAACAUGGAUGGAACUGGAGGUUUUUAAUAUUAAGUGAAAUAAGCCAGGUACAGAAAGACAAAUAUCACAUGUUUUCACUCAUAUGUGGGUGCUAAAGAAGUCGAUCCUGUGGAGGUAGAGAGUAGUAGAGUGUUAGAUAUUAAAGGCCGGGAAGGGUAACUUGGGUGGAUGGUGGUGAUGAAGAGAGGUUAGUUAAUGGGUACAAACAUACUGUUAAAGGAAUAAGUUCUAACGUUUGACAGCAGAGUAGGGUGACUAUGGUUCAAAACAAUGUAUUGUAUAUUUCAAAGUAGCUAGAAAAGAAGACUUGAAAAGUUUCCAGAACACAUAGAAAUGAUGAAUACUCCAGGUGAUAGAUACUGUAAAUACUCCAACUUAAUGAUUACACAUUCUAUACAUGUAACAAAAUAUCAUGUGUACCCCAUAACUAUGUACAGAUAUUAUGUAUUAAUAAAAAUGAAUAAAUAGAAAUCAACUUGUCAAGUUAUUUUUCUUCAAAUAAUAAUACAGGAAGCCAGGUGCAGUGGAUCAUACCUGUAAUCCCAGCACUUCAAGAGGCCAAGGCAGGCAGAUCACUUGAGUCUAGGAGUUCAAGACCAGCUUAGGCAACAUGGUGAAACCCCAUCUCUACAGAAAAAUACAAAAAUUAUCUGGGUAUGAUGAUGUAUACCUACAGUCCCAGCUGCUUGGGAGGCUGAGGUGGAAGGAUUGCUUGAGCCCUGGAGGUUGAGGCUGUGGUCAACCGUGAUCAUGCACAGCUGCACUCCAACCUGGGUGACACAGCUAGACUCUGUCUCAAAUAAUAAUAAUAAUACAGAAAAAACUAUGGACCUAGAUAUUUCAUUUUGUGUACUGUAGUAUCUUUCUUACAUAUGAUUUUUUGUAAUAAUAUUUAUCCAUGGUCUCAUCUGUAAGAUAGGAAUUGUGUAAAAAAUUGCAGGCCAUGCACAGUGGCUCAUACCUGUGGUCCCAGCACUUUGGAAGGCCGAUUCAGGAGGCUCACUUGAGACCAGGAGUUCAAGACCACCCUGUGCAACAUGGUGAGACCCUGUCUCUACAAAAAAUUUAAAAAUUAGCCAGGCAUGGUAGUGUGUGCCUGUCGUCCCAGCCACUGAGGAGGCUGAGAUGGGAGGAUUGCUUGAGCCCAGGAAGUUGAGGCUGCAGUGAGCUAUGAGCAUACCACUGCACUCUAGCCUUGCUGACAGAGUGAGACCCUAUCUUUAAAAAAAGAAAGAAAGAAAAACCGAAUGCUUAACUUUCCAUAAGUGUCUGAGUAAUAAUCCCUGUGGUAACAAAUAUUGUGGCUUCUUAAAAGUAAGAGAUGAAAUAUUGUAGAGUAUUUCUUUAUGCCAGUGAUUCUUUGAAAUGGUUGGUUAAGCUGUUAAAGACCUGAGGUUUUUUUAGCAGCCACCUCCUCACCUCACUCUUUACUGCCACCUUGAUAGUGUCAUGUUUAUAUGAAUUUGUUCAGAUUGCCUUGAAAGAGCUCACUCCUUCCCUCCUCCACUGAGGAUUCAGGUACCUACUCCAGAUCCAAAUUAGUUUUUGUAUCACUAGAAAAAAAAGUAAUAGAGUAGAUCUAUCUCAAAAGGCUUUCUUUGAUUAGAAACUGUGACCAUGUACAUGUAAGACUUGAUUAUAAUUUUAGACUUACAUGGAGAAAUUACUGCUAGAAUAUACAAGGCAAUAUGUGGAUAUAUGAAGGUGGAAAAAUACAUGAGAUGUCCUUACAUCAUUUUCUAAAAAGCAUAUGAUUGGGAGUGCUGUAUAGGAGAGUAUCACAGAAAAUUAUCACAUAUAGGAAACUAUUGUCAAAAUUAACAGUGCCCCUCUGCCAUUGACUAAAUAAAAAAAGAAGGACAAAAUUCUUUAAGACAAAUAAACUUUAAGGCCGAGCGUGGUGGCUCAUACCUGUAAUCCCAGCACUUUGGGAGGACAAGAUGGGAGGAUCAUCUGAAGUCGGGAGUUCGAGACCAGCCUGACCAACAUGAAGAAACCUUGUCUCUACUAAAAAUACCAAAUUAGCCAGGCAUGGUGGUGCGCAACUGUAGUCCAAGCUACUCGGGAGGCUGAGGCAGGAGAAUCGGUUGAACCCAGGAGGCGGAGGUUGCAGUGAGCCGGGAUCACGCCAUUGCACUCCAGCCUGGGUGACAGAGCGAGACACCGUCUCAAAUUAAAAAAAAGACAAAUAAACUUUAAAUAAAGUCCACUAAUUAUAGCAGGGAAUGUGUUGGAUAAGAGUAGGUAUAUGUAAUUAUAUAGUAAUUAUGUUGAAAAUGUAAUCACAUGCCACCAGCUAGCUAGUUAACCAUUUUGCUGGGGGAUGAAUCUGCCCCCAGCAACCACCUCCUUCUGAUCUCAGAGACCCACAUUGACUUUGUUAGAAUGUGUGAUAUGGUUUCUUCUUAGAAGGCUGACCUUUUCUUGGCCAAUUAAAAGGUGCUGCUUUGAGGAUACUGGAAUCCACACUCAAAGGGAUAAAAGGAAAUUGAAACUUCUAUUAAAAGGAGCUAAUGAUGCCUAGAGCGGUUGGGAUUAAAAAAGAACAAAGUCAGCCUUAAAAAGAUCCCCCAAAUCAAAGAACUGCUUCUCUCAUCAAAUACCAGAAGACAGCAAAAUAAUUUUUAAUGAAAAGUGGUGCAAUGGACUCAGCCUUUUCCUUGGAUCCUGGGGCUUCAAUCAAAACCACUGAAAAGUUUUGAGCAAAAUUCUUUGAACUUUUGGGAGAAUUAUGCUACAUAAAUUUGACAUGGUGUUGUAAAAGGUAAACUAGCUUUCCUCCCAAAUUAGAUAGUCAAGAAAAGUAUCAGAAGGGUAACUGAAAAAUCAUACAUAUAAGAGUGCUUUAUAAUUGAUUCCCUGUCUGACACAAAAUAAUUCCUGAGUGAAAAUCGAGCUUUUGAUGAUAGACGUGUAGGGAAUCACUGUCAAAGUUGUCCUGUGGUGGACAAUUAUUAGGUGAUUGCUGUGAUUGUAAUUAGCACAACCUUGGUAGGUUGUGCAUUCCUUAAUACACAUUAUUAUCAUAGUCUGUAUUAGUCUACUCGGGCAGCCAUAACAACAUACCACAGACCACGUGGCUUAAAGAACAGAAAUGUAUUUUGGACAGUUCUGGCAGCUGUAAAGUCCAAGAUCAAGGUUCUUGUAUGAUUCAGUUUCUGGUGAGGGCACUCUUCCUGGCUCGCAGGUGGCUUCCUUCUCAUUAUGUUCUCACAUAGCAUUUCCUAGGUGGAUAUGCUUGGAGAGAGUUAGAAAAUGAACUCUCCAAUGUCUCUACGUAUGAGGAUACUAAUCCUGUCUGAUCAGCACCCUAUCUUUAAGACCUCAUCUUCAAUUACAGCCAUAGUGAGAGUUAGGGCUUCAACAUGAUAAUUUGGAGGGUACAUAAACAUUUAGUCUAGCAAAUCAAAACUAUAAUGAGAUAGCUCACCCCAGUUAAAACAGCUUAUAUUCAAAAGACAGGCAAUGACAAAUGCUGGCAAGGAUGUAGAGAAAAGGGAAUCCUCAUACACUGUUGGUGGGAAUGUAAAUUAGUACAACCACUAUGGAGAACAGUUUGGAGCCUUCUCAACAAAAUAAAAAUAGAUCACGGCUGGACGCGGUGGCUCACGCCUAUAAUCCCAGCACUUUGGGAGGCCGAGGCGGGUGGAUCACGAGGUCAAGAGAUCAAGACCAUCCUGGUCAACAAGGUGAAACCCCGUCUCUACUAAAAAUACAAAAAAUUAGCUGGGCAUGAUGGUGCGUGCCUGUAGUCCCAGCUACUCGGGAGGCUGAGGCAGAAGAAUUGCUCGAACCCAGGAGACGGAGGUUGCGGUGAGCCGAGAUGGUGCCAUUGCACUCCAGUCUGGGUAACAACAGCGAAAUUCCAUCUCAAAAAAAAAAAAAAAAAAGAAUAAAAAGAGAUCUACCAUAUGAACCAGCAAUCCCACUGCAGGGUAUAUACUCCAAAGAAAGGAAAUCAGUACAUCAAAGAGGUAUCCGCACUCCUGUGUUUGUUGCAACAUUCUUUACAAUAGCUGAGAUUCUGAAGCAACUCAAUUGUCCAUCAACAGAUGAAUGGAUAAAGAAAAUGUACUAUUUAGCCAUAAAAAGUAUUAGAACCAGUCAUUUGCAACAUGAAUGGAACUGGAGAUCAUUAUGUUGAGUGAAAUAAGCCAGGCACAGAAAGACAACAUUGUAUGUUCUCACUUAUUUGUGGGAUCUAAAAAUCAAAACAACUGAGCUCAUGGACAUAGAGAGUAGAAGGAAGCUGCCACAGGCUGGGAAGGGUAGUGCUGGGCUGGGUGGGAAGGUGAUGAUAGUGGGUAAAACAAAUGGUUAAAGGGUAAAAACAAAAUGGAAAGAAUGAAUAAGACCUACUAUUUGAAAGUACAACAGGGUGACUAUAGUCAAUAAUAACUUAAUUGUAUAUUUUAAAAUAACCUAGAGUGUAAUUGGAUUAUUUGUAACUCAAAGGAAAGAUGCUUGAGAGGAUGGAUACCCAAUUCUCCAUGAUGUGGUUGUUUCACAUUGCAUGCCUAUCAACACAUCUCAUGUACCCCAUAAAUAUAUAUACCUACUAUAUACUCCCAAAAAAUAAAAAUAUAUUUUUAAAAAAACCAUUUAGUCCAUACCAGGCUGGGCAUGGUGGCUCACACCUAUAAUCCCAGCACUUUGGGAGUCCGAGGCAGGUGGAUCACAAGGUUAGGAGAUGGAGACCAUACUGGCAAAGAGGGUGAAACCCGUCUCUACUAAAAAUACAACAACAACAAAAAAAUUGGCUGGGUGUGGUGGCACACACCUGUAGUUGCAGCUACUUGGGAGGCUAAGUCAGGAGAAUCGCUUCAACCUGGGAGGUGGAGGUUGCAGUGGGUCAAGAUCAUGCCACUGCACUCCAGCCUGGGUGACAGAGCGAGACUCUGUCUCAAAACAAACAAGCAAAACAAAACCAAAAAACCAACACCAUCUACUCCAUACCACCAUCUAACAAUAAGCAAGAAAGAAGUCAGGGAAUUCCUGGGCUGGUCAAGGGGCUGGGUUUCCUGCCACACUUGCAUAUCAAUGGCUAAUGUCUUUGCCACUUAGAGGAUAGUUGGGAGGGUGGCUGGCAAGCACUCAGGAAACCUAAAAGCAAGCUAGUGCUGUAUUUUCUAUUUGUUUGAAUUAUAAAUGAAUUAAUUGUCCAAACCAAAGAACACAACCAGUAGAAGCCUCCUCCUUACAAAUUUGCUUGAACUCCCUCAAGAUAUGUUUAAUGGCAAUGUAACCAACGGGAAAUUCUCUGUCAUAAACCAUCAGUUUUGAACAUGAGUCAUCUAUCCAGCAAAUCGGAGUAUUGGCAAAGGAAGCAUCAUGGCGUCCAGCUUUAUUGCCCCUGCACUUCAACCUGCUGUGGUUUUAAUGGUGGCUAAAAAUCAUUAUUUUAGGAUUGAAAAUCUUUUCUAGAAAGUUGGUCAUUCCUAUUUAUACUGGGACUCAAGGCUACCUUAAGGGGCCCAGGAUGCCUCGUCUCAGCUUGGAAAUUCUAGAAUGAGUUAUGUGUUCUAGGAUGAUUUAAGUGUUAAAUUCAAUUCCAAAAAAGGACACAACCAUUUCUGGGCUCAUAUGUAUUAGGCUGAGGCAAACUCACCCAAUGUUGGCAGUUGGUUUGGGGGUUUAAUAAUUUGAGCUAGAUAAAGAAAAAGGGAGUUGUUGAGACAAGAAAAUGGCUCUUCUCAAAAGUAAAAGACAUCUGGACUGAUAAGAGGGCAACUGAGCGAGGAGCUAAAGAUAACCAAGAGAAACUGAUCAUAAAUUUGCCUCAAGGUUCAGACAGGGGGCCAUGCAGUUGAAUUAUAGGCAGGGGUCAUGGUGGCAGCUUUAGAACUUGUGUCCUGAUUCUGAUGCCUCUAGGCAGCCUCCUUCAUCAUGCUUCCAUCUCCAAACAUCGGAAGGUUGAAUAUGCGUGUAUGAAAAGAAUUCCCAGUAUAAACAUGUAUUAUAGGUUACGCAUAGUUGAUGGGACUAUGAAGUCCUUGAGAGGUAGCUCAGCCUGUGUCCCAUAUCACAGGCUCCUGCCUUAACUGUGCUGUGUCAACUGGCCAAUAAAACUCAUGCAACAGCAUAAAAGUUUAAUUUUUAUAUUUCCUUAUGAUCCCAGGGAGGCCAGGCCUUCCUGGAGAGGGUAUUCCAGGCUAUGAGUUCAUGCAAGCAAGACAUGUAAGAGAUAUACUUGAGUCUCUCUCUUUGUGUGUGUGUGUGUGUGUGUGUGUAUUUGCAUGGCAUAUAUAUGUGUGUGUGUAUAUAUAUAUACACACACAGAUAUAAAACAUAUAUAUAUAUAUAUAUAUAUAUAUAUAUAUAUAUAUACUCAAAAAACACUAGCUGGUGAGCUAAUAUAUGUUUUCCCUUAUGAUCUAGGCAUUCUAGCUGGUUGUUGAGGGAUGUUGACCUGGAGCAGAAAUAUCAUGGUAUGUUGAGAGAGGAGAUGGGAGGAGAGGGUUAUGCAUCAUAUUCCAUUGAUUCUGAGUAGGACUUUUGCAAUAUUUACAGUCUGACUUCAAAGCUAUAACUGCUCUCUCAUGUCUGAUGCUAUGAAAUGAGCUCAUCUUAUGCAGAAUUGCUCAAUAAACUUAAAGAAGCAUGCCAUACAAUUAUAUGGUUUAUAUUGAGUAUGAUAAUCAUUUCUGCCACUAGUACCACUAAGCUGUCAGGGUUAGGAAUCCUGUAUUGAGUUCUUCCAUGUGCCAGAUCUCGUUCUAGAUGAGGAUUUUUCAGCCAUGGCACUAUUACUUUUCAAGGCUGGAUAGUUCUUUGUUGUUGGGGGCUGUCCUGGGUAUUGGAGGAUGCCUAGUAGCAUCUCUGGCCUUUACCUACUAAAGGUAGAAGCAUAGCCCCCUCCCCCAAUUGUGGCAACUCAGGUGUCUCCAGACACUGCAGGAUGUCCUCUGGGAGCAAAAUUCCCUCUGGUUGAGAGACAGCAUUCUAGAUAUAUGACAUGUUGCAUGACAUGUGGCAUAGGCAAAAACCAUGAACUGCAAUGUCACAUUCUUGUCUUCACUUCUUCAUUCAUUUUAUUUAAUUACUUAGGUUUUUUUUUUUGAAACAGAGUUUCACUUUGUCAGCCAGGCUGCAGUGCAGUGGCAUGAUCUCGGCUUACUGCAACCUCCGCCUCCUGGGCUCACGGGGUCCUCCCACCUCAACCUCCCGAUUACCUGGGACUACAGGGGCAUGCUACCACACCUGGCUAAUUUUCGUGUUUUCAAUAAAGACAGGGUUUCUCCAUGUUGCCCAGGCUGGUCUCAGACUCCCAGACUCAAGCAAUCUGCCCACCUCAGCCUCCCAAAGUGCUGGGCCUACGACUCAGCUGAGUCAUCAUGCCCAGCUCAUUCAUUUGAUUUAUUGAGCCUUUACAACAUGCCACGAACUGUGCUGAGUGAUGGGAAUACAAAGAUGAGUAAGGCAUGGUUUUUGCCUUAAGUAGAAGACUCUAGUAAUGGAGAAAACUCAUACAUAGAUAAAUUACCAAUCAAGUGGUAAAUGUAUUACAAAACAGUCAUGAUUACAGGCUUGAGUAGAGAGCUCCUGACCCAGUUGGGCAGUAGAAGCUGGAGGCAUCAAGAGAGGCUUUUCUGAGUUGCGUGGCCUGAGUUAAGUCUUUAUAUGGGUGGAGGAGGUGAGGACACUGAAGCAGAGGCAUAAUUCAGUGUUGCAGAGUUACUGUUGAAACACAGGUGAAAAAGCCUGGUGUGUGUCGAGUGUUGGGAAGGGAACGUUAAAAGUCUGCAGAGGUAGACAGAUGACUUUGUCUGGCGUUCUGAGAGUUUGUACUUUAUUUUAAUGGUGGGGAGCCACUGAGGGGCUUCAGGUAAAGAAGUGACAUGCUUUUGUUUAAACCGGUUGUUUUGGCAGCCUCCACCUGCUGGACUCAAGGGAUCCUCCCACCUCAGCCUCCCAAGUAGCUGGGACUGCAAGUGCAUGCUACCACACCUGGCUAAGUUUUGUAUUUUUUGUAGAGAUGAGGUUUCACCAUGUUGCCCAGGCUUCUAUGUGGAGAAUGUAUUCAAGGAGCACAAGAGUGAAAGCAGGGAGACUAUUUAGAAGGCCAAGAGGUAAUGAGGGCUCGAACUAGGCCAAUGGGAAUUAGGGGAGAGGAUUUGAGAAAUAUUUCAGAGAUAAAACAGCAUGAUUUAGUGACUCUUUUGAUAUAGGAGAUGAGGAACAGGCAGAAGGUUCAGGGAUGAUUGAUUCUCACAGUUGUCACUGGGUGCCACUGUCAUUGUCUAUCCUAUAGGAAAUAUAGAGUGAGGGUAAUGAUUGUAUUAUGUUAUCAUGUUAAUUUAUUAUUCCUAUUGUGCAAAUGAUAAAAUUGAGGCUCAAAGGGGAAAGGGCUUAGCCCAAAGUCACACAGCUAUUGAGUAGAGAAGCCAGGAUUUGAGAUCUGUUUGACUAUCUGACUUCCAGUCCGUCAAGCCAUGUGGCUUUGGGUAAGUGUGGAUUAAAGUGGUGAAAAUGAAUCAUUCAGAAAGUAGUCGACUUGCUUACUGUUGGCCUUUAUGCUUGGCAGGUGCUCAGUAUUUGUUGAAGAAAGGAAUGAUUUUAAUGAAAAUUAUACUAAUAUAUUUACAUAUCAUUUUCAUGUAUUUCAAAUUAGAAUGCAUGAGGGGAAAAAUAAACAGCUUAUCCAAUAUUACAUGCAAAUAUCCCCCACCUGAGCACAGCUUUAGUCUCUUCGCAGGUUCCUGUAGCUACAGGUGAAGUCUCGAGGUCCCACAGUCCAUUGUUCUGCCUCUUUGUUUAAUCACUCACCAUGUUCUCUUCAGACAGAGCUAAGGACACAGAUAGAGCAAAUACUUGUUAAAUGAUUCAGUCAUUUAUAUAUUUUUAGCCUCACCAUUACAUUCUGGGUCAAUAAAAGGACCUUCAGUCCUAUUGUCAUUUCUAUCCAGAUAUAUCAAAUGUGACCAAGACCAAGAAAGACUGUUGGGCAGGAAAAAAGGGAGAAAUGUCACUGGGCUAAAGGUGGAAACUUGUGGAUAUUGUUAAAAUAAACACAAAGAAAUUCCUGUGUUACUUCUCUCUAGGGUUGCUCCCUUAACCUUUCUGUCUCCAAGUCCAGACUUCAAAGCUCCAAGAAAAAAACAAGAUACAACAGUGUAGGAUUAGCUGCCAAUUUACUAAUAUUUUAAGUAAGUGUCCAAAAAGGCCAGUUAAGCCUGUCUGACAGCAGUGACAGUUCUCGUCGUCAGAAAUUUCAAGAAUGAUUAUAGCCUGUGACCUGCGACGGCUCCAAAGACUGUAGGAAUUGCCAGGGAAUGUCACUGAUAUAUAUCUCUCAGGAUCACCUUCCUUCUCACUGCUGGGAGAGUGAGUUCUGGUCUUGGAUAGAAAAGGAUUCCCAGUACCCCAGUUAUAUAGCUGCUUACAUCUGUUAUCUGUGCAUGUGAGGUUUUAUAUUAGACGAGAAAGUAGACAGUCAGUCACAAUUUUGUUUUCAUGAAAUUUGAGACUCAUAUGGACCAUUCUGCUAUGGCCUGCUCUUACCCUGCUGUAUCAGAGAUUGCUUGGUCUAGAGUCAGGGACUCGGGCCUGGUGAGUGCACCAGGACAGCUGGCAAGGAGUUCCUCAUUUUUUAUUCCUUCUGCUCCUGCUUCAGUUCCAGCUACAAGGAAGCUCAUGGAAAUAUUUUUAGUGCAUUUGUUGUUACCAGGGCCCCCUCACCAUUCCCAAGACAAGGCUUGACUUUCCAUCCCAUAGUGUAAGCAGAAUUUUGUACUGUGGUUCUUCACAGGAAUUACUGCUUGGCAGAAGGUUAUUAAUAAUAAUAGUUCACACCCAGCCCAAUUUAAAAAAUCAGAUUGCUCCUCAAAAAAAGUCUUCUCUGGGCUGGGCGCGGUGGCUCCAGCCUCUAAUCCCAGCACUUUGGGAGAAUGUGGCGGGUGGAUCACGAGGUCAAGAGAUCGAGACCAUCCUGGUCAACAUGGUGAAACCCUGUCUCUACUAAAAAUACAAAAAAUCAGCUGGGCAUGGUGGCACGUGCCUGUAAUCCCAGCUACUCAGGAGGCUGAGGCAGGAGAAUUGCCUGAACCCAGGAGGCGGAGGUUGCGGUGAGCCGAGAUCGCGCCAUUGCACUCCAGCCUGGAUAACAAGAGCGAAACUCCGUCUUAAAAAAAAAAAAAAAAAGCCUUCUCUGAAGUUAAAUUACAGGUAUUUAAUGUAUAAUGUUUCUCCACUUCUUACCUAGACACUGGAUAUUCCUCCAUGUUAAAUGCCCUUGAACUAUAUUUUUCUUUGCCUGCCAUAUUUUAUUCACUCUUCGUAUCUCAGUGUCAAUGUUACUUGCUUUUUAGACCCUUUCUAACUCUCACUGAGUUGCACAGCACGUGGCAAAAGCUGUUCUCACUCAAUUGUAAUAUAAUUGUCUGUUAAAGACCUUAAACUUUUGAGACUGGAGAUGGUUUGCAUUCAUUGUAGUAUCUCCAGUGAGGCACAUGCAGUGGGAUGUCAAAGAAGGCUUGAACUGAAUGGGCGCAUAUCCUAACAGGGUUUUGCAGGCCAGUAGACCUGGAUCUGCACCAAUGUUCUGUCUCUUACCAUCACUUAUUCUUGCUGAACCCGUAUGAAAAAUGGAAAUAAUCAUCUUACCUUCAAGAGUUGUGAAAAGUCAAACCCAGUUCCUGGCACGAAGUUGGUGCUCAAUACAUAUACAUAUUCAUUUGAUCAUUAUGCUAGUUUGAGCAUUCAAGGUUCUUUCCAAAACAGUCAUGCACGGCCAUUGAUAGAUGAUGAGAAGUCUUAAUCUACGUAUCAACAAAUUUUCUAAAAUAAUUUUGAACAUUGUGAGAGCCAGGGUGAAAGAAACACAGUAUUUGAAUUUAAAAGACCUGGUUUGAUUCAUUUUGUGACCUUUCCUCCUGUUAAGUGACAUAUACACUCAUUUAUAGCCAUCAAUGAUAUUCAAAGCUAUUUGCCUUAAUGUGUCCCUGAAUAUGCCUGUUCAUUACUAGCUCUAAAAAUUUUAAGUGGAAUAUCAAUUACUUAUUUAUCAUUGUUUUCUUUUGGUUCAAAGUGUGCUUUGUUCUCCUAAAGUUCCGAAAUAGUGAGGGUGCUGCUGUUGGGGGGCACAGGGCUGGGGGGCAGAGGGCGGGGAGGUGGCGGUAGGAGUUGAGGUUUGGUUUCUGUGGUGCAACAGUGACAUCCAUUGGCCUGCCUGUUAAUGCUAUCUAUAGAAAAAACCUGCUUCUCUGCUCUGCGACUGUUGGAUUUUCUGAUAUAAAGAUACAAAGAGAACAAACUGUCUCUGGGCCCAUGUAAGACAAGCCAGUGAUCAACAGCUGGUCCCCUGAAGACUGGGCUGGUUUCAGGACUCUUCCAAAGGAUACAUGUUCUAAGAUCAGCACCAGCUGGGUGUUGCCUUCUGGUCAUUUGGAGACAAUCCUGGAACUGGUCCUCUCCGUGGAGUGUAGUACAUUCAUUAGGCUGUUGGGAAACCAUUGGAUUGAGCUCUAGAUGUGCUAUUGAAUGCAUAAGCCAGGGCAAAUCACUUUGCCACUGGACUUUUCCAGACUGACAAAGUGAAGUUGAUAGCAAUACCAGCUUUGUAGUUACCAAAGGGAUUUUCCAUACAUUUUAUAAUAACUUCCCACAACAAUUGUGAAAAUUAGGAAAGUACAGAUCAGACCUGCUCAGCAUCCAACUGACUGUGAGGAUGUGAAGCUGAACACCAAAUCCCAGGGUUUCAAACCUCAAGCCUUGGUGACUUAUAUUUGCUGCUCUAGUUGGAAUUAACUAAAUAAUUACAGAAAUUCCUGCUUCCUUUCUGGAAACCCCCAGGAGAGGUUCUAAAAAUGGAAAAUCAAAGGAAAGUCUAUGUGGCUGGAUGUGAGAGAUUGAGCAAUGAGUCAGCAUCUUUAAGUAGAAAUAGAUUUGCAUUGCUGGCUGUCAUCUCCAUAAAGAACAUAACAGGAAAUAGCAAGACUAAAAAUAAUUAUUUUCGCCUACUAUGUGUCAGAUACUCUGUUAAGCAUUAAGAUUGGAGGAUAAAAUAGACAAACUGUUUCAUACCGUCCAGAGCCUCACUGUCAAGUGAGGGAUACAGAGUAGGAACAGUGACUCAUAUGUCAUAGUGUGGUAAGUGUUACAUCAAGCAUUCCUGCAGGAUGCUACCCUUCCAAAGCCCCGUGUGUGUAUGUGUGUGUGUGUGUGUGUGUGUGCCCACUUGUGUGCUUGGUAGGAUCCUAGUAGUGACUACCAUAGGUACCUUUGGAUAGAUGAUAAACAGGUGAAUAGUGUCAGUUCAACUGGAAGCCAAAAUAGCAAACUUUUUUCAAUAUCAAAACCAAGUAGUUUGCAAAACUGACACAUCAGAUACGUAACACAUACAAAAAGAAAACCCAAAGAUUCAAUUGCACUUUGUAUCAUUUCAUAGUAAAUCUUUUUUUGGAAACAAUUAGGGAAUUUGUAACUAAUUAUUGUAAAAUCCACCACUGACUCACUGGUAAAGCCUUUUCAAAUCACUGUUAUGAUUAAACAAGCCAAAAAAAAAAUGGCUAAUCUAAAAAUGGAUCUCAUUCAGAUCCCAUUCUUCCUUCUCGGUUGGCCCUCUAGCAGGAAAGCUUGGUUCUGGUGUCCCCUCUGAUUAAAUGAUCUCAUUGGAACCCUCAUUGUGAAUACUCCAGGCCCAUCCUUCAGCCACCUCUCCUCUCCCUCGAAGCAGCUUCCGAUGUAAACGAACUCUUCCUUGCUGCAGAGGCUCAAGAGCAUCGAUCACUCCCCACUUACAGGCAGAAGUCAACAGCAGACUCCAGGCACCUUGCCAAGAGGGCAGGCCCGGUGACUGAGUUCUUUACUCCCCUACUCCCCCACCACCUAGCCAUUUGGACCCCUUUGGAAAAAGUGGCACCCACAGUUUAAAACAUCACUUCUCAUAUUGGUCAUUCGGGUUUAGAGCCACAUGUUAGACAAACUGAGAUUUUAGCCUAUAAUUGUUGGCUUUCCUUGAAAUUCUUACAUAUAUGUAACAACACCAAAGAAUAAAUCAGGACUCUAGUGAUGUUGCCGUGGGCUUUGAGAAGCUUUAUUUGUUUAUUUAUUUAUUUAUGAGAUGGAGUCUCACUCUGUUACCCAGGCUGGAGUGCUAUGGCAUGAUAUUGGCUCACUGCAACCUCCGCCUCCCAGGUUCAAACCAUUCUCCUGCUUCAGUCUCCAAAGUAGCUGGGACUACAGGUGUGUGCCACCAUGCCUGGCUAAUUUUUGCAUUUUUAGUAGGAAUGCAGUUUUGUCAUGUUGGCCAGGCUGGUCUGCAACUCCUGACCUCAGGUGAUCCACCCUCCCCAGUCUCCCAAAGUGCUGAGAUUACAGGUAUGAGCCACUGCGCCCUACCUGAGAAGCCUUUUUAACAAAAUAAGAAAAAAUGAGUUCAUUUUGACUGAAGCAACCCAUCUAAAAUAUGCAUAUGCUAAAGAAACCAAGAAUGAAGUUGGGCAGGGGUACUUCAGAGACUGUGCUCAGAUGCUGGGUAUCACACAGAGGCCACCAGACUCAAGAGUGUGAAGCUAACUGCCCCUCCCCAUUUCACACGUACCUCUCACAUAUGUCAGGGCACUGCCACCCGCCUCUGUGCACCCCAGUCCCCUCCAGAGCCCAUCUUGCUUGCAAAGCUCCAGCACCAUCAGCAUCUUCACCAUUCAUCUUUUAGCAAUUUGUACUUGGGUAUAGAAUAAAUGCACAAGGAGCCCUUUGCAGGACUAUCUGGUUAAGUGCAUAGAGUGAUUUGAGGUCCUCUGUAGAGGUCUCACUGCCCAAAAAUCUUUCACCCAACUGCUUAAGAUCCCAUAUCAGUCUAUGAGGGGCUCAUCCAUUUGAGUUAAUUCUUACCUUGUCUGUUUUUAAAUACCCCUUGGAGAGAAUCAUCAACACCUCAGUGAUAACUAGUCUGUCACAUACUGAUUGAAUUAUUAUUUUUAAAUUUAUUUUAAUUAAUUAUUUAUUUGCGAUGGAGUCUUGCUCUCUUGCCCAGGCUGGAGUGUAAUGGCACCAUCUCAACUCACUGCAACCUCCGCCUCCCAGGUUCAAGUGAUUCUUCUGCCUCAGCCUCCCAAGUAGCUGGGAUUACAGAUGCCUGCCACCAUGCCCAGCUACUUUUUCAAUUUUUGGUAGAGAAAGGGUUUCACCAUGUUAACCAGGCUGGUCUCAAACUCCUGACCUCAGGUGAUCCACCCACCUUGGCCUCCUAAAUGCUGGGAUUAUAGGUAUGAGCCACUGCACCUGGCUUGAUGAAUUAUUAUUUUUUUAUUUGUGGGUGGUUGUUUGUUUUUUUGAGACAGAGUCUCACUCUGUCACCCAGGCUGAAGUGCAGUAGCAUGAUCGCAGCUCACUACAGCCCUGAACUCCUGGUCUCCAGUGAUCCUCCCAUCUCAGCUUCUUGAGUAACUGGGACAACUGGCAUGUACCACCAUAGCCUGCUUACUUUUUUAUUUUUUGUAAAGAUAGGGUCUCACUGUUACCAAAACUGGUCUUGAACUCUUGGCCUCAAGUGAUCCUCCUGCCUCAGUCUCCCAAAGUGCUGGGAUUAUAAAUGUGAGCCACAGCAACUGGCUUAAUUUGUUUUUAAAGAUAUUUUUCUUGAGAGAUAAUUUAUAUAAAAUGUGUGACUCUUUAGUAUUCCAGUUCCAUGAAUCCUGACAAAUGUAGUCACCUGUGUAAUCCACAUUCUUAUCAAACUAUAACCCAUUUUCAUCACCACAUAAAGUUUCUUUGUUCCCCUUUCCAGUCCACUCUGCACCCCAGGGCACCUACAGUUCUGAUUUAUUUCACUAACCAAAGAUUAGUUUUUUUCUAUCCUAGAAAUUCGUUAAAUAAAAAGAGUAUAUAACACAGUAUAUACUCUUUUUUGUUGGUAUUUUUCACUCAUUGUAAAGUUUCUGAACUUUAUCUGUGUUGUUGCUUGUAUUAAUAGUUCAUUGUUUAUCCAUUCUCCUACUGAUGGACAUUUGGACUGUGUCUGGUUUGGGGCUACUAUGAAUAAAGCUGCUAUAGAUAUUAGUGUACAAGUAUUUUUGUAGAUGCGUUUUCAUUUUUCUUUGGUAAAUACCUAAGAGUAAAAUGCUAGAUCAUAGGGUGGCUGUGUGUUUGAUUUUCCAUACCAUUUUCCAAAGGGUGGUACCAUUUUGUUCCAUAAUCUUCCCAACAGUUGGUGCUGGCAAUUGUAUUGGUUUCUAUUGCUGCAUAACAAAUUAUCACAAAUGUAGUGUCUUGAAGCAGCAUCAAUUUAUUAGCUCACAAUACUCUAGGUCACAGUUGUGCAUGGCACCAUUGAGUUCUCUACCUAAGGCCUCACAAAGCUGAAAUCAAGGUAUAGACUGAGCUGGGCUCUUAUCUGGAAGCUCUAGGGAAGAGUCUACUUCAAAGCUCAUUCUGGUUGCUGGCUGAAUUCAGUUUCUUGUGGUUGUAGGAUGAAUUCCCCGUUGCCUUACUGGCUCUCACCCAGAGCUGCUCUCUAGAGGCAGCCUGCAUUUCUUCUCACAUGGAACCCCACACACCCAUCUUAAAGCCUGCGACACAUUGAAUCCCCUUGUGCUUUGAAUCUCUUUGCCUUCUUCUUCUAGUGCCAGGCGGAGAGUUAAACCUCUGCUUUUUUUUUUUUCUUUUUUUGAGACAGAGUCUCACUCUGUUGUACAGGCUGGAGUGCAGUGGCGCAAUCUCAGCUCCCUGCAACCUCCACCUCCUGUUUUCAAGCAAUUCUCCUGCCUCAGCCUCCUGAGCAGCUGGGACUACAGGUGUGUGCCACCACACCUGGCUAAUUUUUUGUAUUUUUAGUAGAGAUUGGGUUUCACCAUGUUAUCCAGGAUUGUCUCAAUCUCCUGACCUUGUGAUCCACCUGCCUUGGCAUCCCAAAGUGCUGGGAUUACAGUCAUGAGCCACUGUGCAUGGCAACCUCUGGUUUUUAAAAGGCUCACCUGACUGGGCCAAACCUAAUUGGAUAAUCUCUGUAUCUUAAGAUUCAUUGAUUUGGGACUCUAAUUGCAUCUGCAAUUUCCCUUCACAAUCAAUGUUUGAAUAACUAGGGGACAGGAAUCUUGGCCAUCUUUAGAAUUCUGCCUACCAUAGCAGUCCACGAUGAAGCCCUAAAAUCAGCAUCACUUUUCAUUAUCCACUUGCUUAAGAAUCCAUGUAUAUUUUUCUUCUAAAGAACCAUACCAACUGUAGUUUUAAUAAUUACACUCCUGUAUUUCUAGCUACUUGAGAGGCUGAGGCAGGAUGAUUGCUUGAGCCUAGAAGCUGGAGACUGCAGUAAGCUGUGAUUGCGACACUGUGCUCCAUCCUGGGCAACAGAGCAAGACCCUAUCUUAAAGAGAGAGAGAGAGAGAGAGAAAGGGAGGGAGGGAGGGAGGGAGGGAGGGAGGGAAGGAAGGAAGGAAGGAAGGAAGGAAGGAAGGAAGGAAGGAAGGAAGGAAGGAAGGAAGGAAGGAAGGAAGGCAAAAGAAAGAAGUUCACAGUGUUGGUUAAAGUCAGCAAUGGGCUGAGAGCCAUGUCUCUAGAUUCCUAGCCUAGAACUGUCUACUACACUCUAAUCUGUACUUGCUUCUAGAGAGUGUCUGAUCCUAUAAGGGAUUCUGAUGUUGGUAAUUUAAAUCACCAUAUAAGUCUCUGAAAAUCUAGAAAUAUUUAUUUAAAAUAAUGCAUAGGUAUUUCCAAAUUUAAAUUUUUAAAAUUUGGCUAAAUCUUUCCACAAAAAGUGUUUUGUCAGCUUGAAACCAUCUGGGUAGGGAAGGAGCCCGUGGGUCUGGCACAGGCUUAGAUGCUAAGAUCUUAGGAGUUCUUGGUUGUGUGCUUGAAAUCUCAUUCAGCCUGGGCACCCUGCAUUUCUCCCUAAUAGAGAAUAAGUAAUCAUAAGCCUGACAUUCAAGAUACUCUCAUAAGCCUCUUAUUUUUCAAGAUGAUUCCAGAGAAGUUGGUUGUGAAGUCACACAACCUGCUAAGUAGAGACUAGAAUUCAGGUCCCCUUGUUGCUGUACACCAGAGGUAAUAACCAGCAGUAAAGCAGCCCAGUCUGUCCGGAAACAGUGCUUUGUUUGGCCCAAAGAUUGUUGUUGCUCUUGUUGAUUUAGAGAUGGGGUCUCACUACGUUGCUCAGGCUGAACUCCUGGGCUAAAGUGAUCCUCCUCCUCUCUCAGCCUCCCGAGUAGCUGGGAUUAUAAGUGUGCACUGCUGUGCAAAGCUUUGGUUUUUAAUUGGAUUAAUUUUCAAUAUUUAAAAAUUGGAAAACUUUACAUAAACAUCUAGAUGUCCAGCAGUUUUCUGAAAAGUUGGGAGCUCAGGUAACAGUGGACCCAGUUUCUGCAGUGUAAUAGUUGGAUUAGGGUGUUCCUUUAAAGAGGACACGAGGCCUUCGGUGGCCACACUUCCAGCUGGUUCACUUUCCCCACUUACCCUCUUGGUCUCUGUAGGAACUUGAGUCAUGACACAUGCCUUACCCCAAGCUGUAGUUUUGAGACACCUUGUCUAACUGUUCAAACAAUUUCUUAUCUGGCCUAUACACACAAAGUAUGUUUGGCUCUCACUUCCUGGCAGUUGAAAAUAAUAAACUAGAUUUUCAAAGUGGGUGAACUACUUGCUGGCUGUAAGUCUGGCUUCAUUAAAAGAAUACUUUCUCUGUGGGCCCAUAGUCAGUUAGCACAUGGAAUCCUGGCUGUCAGCAUUCAUGUAAUUUCAAAAAGUAUCCCUCUCCUUAUGUGCUAGCUUACGCCUCAGAAAGUUCCGACUUUCAGUGAAUAAAACAACUAAUAUUGUGAAGUCAAAGAGUUGGCUUAGAAAAGCCACUUUCUCAGCUAAAGGACUUACUGAACCUGACUUCUUUGGAGACACAUCUGUGUAGCCAUAUGAAAUGAAUGCAGGCAGUUGUUAAUUGAUGAUUCUUCUUGAGCUUAUGCAGCCAGAAUCUUUCAUUGAUUAAUAGUUGUGAUUCUCAAUCUUAGCUGCACAUGACAAUGGUCUUGGCAGCUUUUAAAAAUUAUGAUGCCUGUGCUACAAUUAAAAUAGAAAUCAUGGUGAUGACGAUGCCUGUGAUUCAUCCUCAGAAUUUUUGAUUCAGUUGAUUUGAGGUUGGUCCUGGGCCUCUGGGUCUUUUGGCUUUUGCUACUGUUGCAUUGUUUUAUUGUGGUAAACACACACGCGCGCGCGCAUACACUAAAUUUGUCAUCUUAACCAGUUUUAAGUGUAUAGUUCAAUAAUGUUAAGUAUAUCAAAGUUAUUGUGACAUGGGCUUGACAACUUUCUUAUCCUGCAAAACUGAAACUCUCUACGCACUAAAAACUCCCCAUUUCCCUUUUCCAUAACCUCUGGCUGGGCCUUGGUUUUAAAGGUUUCCAGGCGGCCCAGCACAGUGGCUUUUGCCUGUAAUCCUAGCACUUUGGGAGGCCGAGGUGGGCGGAUCGCUUGAGCCUAGGAGUUUGAAACCAGCCUGGGCAACACAGUGAGACCCCAUCUAAAAAUAUAUAUAUAUACGUGUGUGUGUGUGUGUGUGUGUGUGUGUGUGUGUGUGUAAAAUAAGGCUUCCAGGUGAUUCAGAUGUAUCUUCAACCUUGAGAACCACUGACUUGGAGGGAAGGAUUUCCACCUCAAAGGGGUUCUAAGGCUUUUACAGUUCUUACCGGGGUCUCCACAGCUGCCAAUACCAUCCACAAAUAGGUGGGAUGGGUUUUUUAUGUACACAAUAGUACAGGACUUCUGCCCUUGAGUAAAGUUAGCCUGUGCCUCAGGCCUCCAAUUGUGGUACCACCUCAACUCACAACUUGGCUGCAGCUUUGCCUGUGAAAUACUCACUCAUGCCAUGUGGCCUGGCUGAGAUUCAUGGGUUUUUGAUCUCCUAUCUCUCUGCCACUGAUAGCUGUGUUUAAUUUCUUGACGCACCCUCAAUACCAGUUAAGGAUGGGGAACCUGGGAAGGUGUACCAGGAAGCUGUGGCAUUCCAGGAGUUCUUUGGACUUGGACUUAGACUGUCAGAAGAACCAGUCAUCUGGAGGAGAGCCCAGAGCCAUAUGGAUUUCCUGCCCCAGCAGUGGUGAAAUUCAAGGCUUUGCCAGCAGUGCUGGACUGUUCUGUGGAUUUGGCUGCUUUUUGCUACAUCUACAACAAUUAAAAUGGUGUUUUGUGAUGUUUGUGGCAUUUAAGCUUACUGAUUUUAUUAACUUGAUUCCUGGCACUUUCAUCUGUCUCUCAUGAUCCUGAUAGAAUAGAAACAUUGCUCUGUUCUGGUAUUUUCCAUGAGCUGCCUAGUUUGUUCAUCUGUGGAAAACAGUUGUUUUGAGAAACAGAUCCAAGUUGAUGGAGCUAGGACCUGGCUUGCAUCCUUUUUCUGUAGCAUGAAAUUCAAAACCUCUCUCUACUCUUGCUGGAGUGCGUCUAAUUUUUCUCUCUGCCAUCAGGCGUGACAUCCUGACCCCAUGCCAUACCUUCAUUCCCUGAUAAGCGCUGCCCUGGUAAGUUCCACUGCAUCACUACUGACCUACCUGACCUGGCAUACUACAGAAAUCUUUAAGUGCUAAACACUUUUAUCACAAAACCAAACAAGAACAAGACUGGGUCACCUUUGGGACCCCUAUGGAUUACUGGGAAAAAAGAAAUUUUUAUGAGGAAAAUUUGGGGCUGAAGUAUUUGUUGACUUAUGGUGGUACCUCUAAAGUCCUUUAAAAAAGUAAAAGAGUAAUUUUCUGUGUUGUAGGUCUAGUGUUAAAGUCCAGUGAUACCCCAGUGCCAAAGCUGCAGAAAGUUCUGGCCUCACUCAUUGCAGCCGGAGCUUUGCAAUUUUAAUCUUGGACUGGUUCAUGUGAUUACCUGUUAUUCAGAUGCAUCAAUGGACUAUGGCUUGCCCUGUGUAAUCACAGCUCACUGCAGCCUCAACCUCCAGUGCUCAAAUGGUCCUCCUACCCCAGCCCCCUGAGUAGGUGAGACUACAAGCAUACACCAUCAUGCCCAACUAAAUUUUAAAUUAUUUUUUAUAGAAACAAGAUCUCACUCUGUUGCCUCAGCUGCUCUUGAACUCGUGGGCUCAAACAAUUCUCCCUCCUCAGCCUCCCGAAGUGCUGGGAUUACAGGCAUAAGCCAUCAUGCCCAGCCUGUUAUGUAUUCUUUACAGCAUUUUUUUAAAAAGAGGAAAUGCUAAGCAAACAGAUGUUAUUAAAAUUGUCAUGCAAACCAAAACGAGAAUGUGAGAUGAUAUUAUAUGAAGUAUGAGAAAGAUCUUUCAAUUCUUACAUCUUAAUUUCUUAAAAGGAAAUGCAGAGCAAGCAGGGACUCAAAGAGAUAUUUGCAUUCCCAUGCUGAUAGCAGCAUCAGUCACGAUAGCCAAAAGGGGGAAGGAACCCAAGUGUCCCCGGAGCGAUGAAUAAAUAAACAAACUGUGGUAAAAUAUUCAGUGGCCUAUUAUUCCGCCUUAAAAAGGAAUGAAAUCAUGCUAUAGAAGAUGGCAUAGAUGAAUUUUGGGGAUAUUAUGCUAAGUGAAAUAAGCCAGUCACAAAAGGACAAUUACAGUGUAAUUCUACUUAUACAAGGUACCUAGAAUAGUCAAAUUCAUAGAAACGGAAAGUAGAAUGGUAAUUGGCAGGGGCUGGGGAAUGGGAGGAUUGGACAAUUACUGUUCCAUGAGUUCAGAGUUUCAGUUUUACAAGAGAAAAAGAGUUCUGUGGAUGAAUGUUGGUGAUGGUUGUACAACAACAUGAAUGUACUUAAUACUCCCGGACUAUAUGCUUACAUGUGAUUAAGCUGGUUCAUUUUAUGUUAUGGAGGCUGGUUUUUUUGCUUGUUUGUUUUUGAGAUAGGAUCUCGCUCUGUCACCCAUGCUGGAUGCAGUGGUAUGAUCACAGCUCACUGCAGCCUCAACCUCCAGGGCUCCAGCAAUCCUCCCACCUCAACCCCCUGUGUAGCUGGGACUGCAGGCAUGCACCAUCAUGCCCAGCUAAUUUUUAAAUUAUUUUUUUUUGUGGAAACAAGGUCUCAUUCUGUUGCUCAUCUUCAACUCAGGGACUCAAGUGAUUCUUCCUCCUCAGCCUCCGAAAGUACUAGGAUUGCAGGCAUGAGCCAUCAUGCCCAGCCUGUUAUGUAUUCUUUACAACAAUUUUUUUUUUUUUUUGAGACGGAGUUUCGCUCUUGUUACCCAGGCUGGAGUGCAAUGGCGCGAUCUUGGCUCACCGCAACCUCCGCCUCCUGCGUUCAGGCAAUUCUCCUGCCUCAGCCUCAUGAGUAGCUGGGAUUACAGGCACGCGCCACCAUGCCCAGCUAAUUUUUUGUAUUUUUAGUAGAGACGGGGUUUCACGAUGGUCUCAUCUCUUGACCUCGUGAUCCAUCCGCCUCGGCCUUCCAAAGUGCAGGGAUUACAGGCGUGAGCCACUGCGCCCGGCCCUACAACAAUUUUUUUUAAAGGGGAAAUGCUUAGCAAAUAGAAGAUGUUAUUAAAGUUAUUGUGCAGGUGCACAUAGGGUUGGGGGAGGGAGCAAACAAUCGCACUCCCUCUCCCUCGUCCACGGCUGCUGCCUCCUUCUGCAGCUCCUGGUGAAGACCUGGUACCUCUUUUGUGAAGCAGAGGCUGAGGAGACUCGGGUGCUCACCAUGGCCAAUCAAAAGCCCAUGGAAGGAGUCAAGACAGAUCAAUGAUCAUAUUAAUUUGAAGGUGAUGGGGCAGGAUGGUUCUGUGGUGCAGUUUAACAUUAAGAGGCAUACAUCACUUAGUCAAGGAAUGAAAGCCUAUUGUGAAUGACAGCAAUUGUCAGGGAUUGUCAGUGAGGCAGAUCAGAUUUUGAUUUGACAGGCAACCUAUCAAUGAAACAGACACACCUGUACAGUUGGAAAUGGAGGCUGAAGAUACAAUUGAUGUGUUCUAACAGCAGAUGGGAGGUGUCUACUGAGAAGGGAACUUGCUUCAUUACUCUAGAACUCUGUUCUUUUCAGACCAAGAUGACAUUUUCAAUGAGAAAACUGAAAUUUGGUUCUACUACAUCCUGACUACUAUAGUAUAGUUUUCUCUAUUAUUUCAUUUCCCCUUCCCCAUUCCUUUACUGUACAUAUAGUAACUGGUAUAUGUGCACAAGCAUAUUGUAUUUUUAAAAAUCUAAACAGCCAAUGGUAUGUUUUGAUUGACAUCACAUAGAGACGAGACAGGGAAAAAUACUGAUUCUGUGAAAAUACCCCCUUUCUCCAUUAGUGUCAUGCUCAUUGAGCUCUUAUCUUUAUAUUCCAGUAAGUUAUUUUGCUCUCACUGUUUAAACAAAAACAACAACAUAAAACGCCUUACACACCUUGUCCAAUUGGAGAAUUUUAAUGUUCUUCAUUUAUCAUUGUAAAACCAAGGACAAUUUUAUAACUUUUUUGUAUGUAGCUGUUACAUAUAGGGCAAUCUGUGUUUAAAUAGGGAUAAAUUACUCUAAAACAAAACAAAGCAAAAGAAUUGUAUGUCUGGGUUCAGUGGUUCAUGCCUAUAAUCCUAGCACUUUGGGAGGCUGAGGCAGGCAGAUCAUUUGAAGCCAGGAGUUUGAGACCAGCCUGGCCGACAUGGUGAAACCCUGUCUCUACUAAAAAUAUGAAAAUUAGCUGGGCAUGGUGGCACAUGCCUGUAAUCUUAGCUACUCAGGAGGCUGAAGCAGAAGAACUGCUUAAACCUGGGAGGUGGAGGUUGCAGUGA